rnacentral:snRNA from 1 species
GUGCUUGCUUUGGCAGCACAUAUACUAAAAUUGGAAUAAUACAGAGAAGAUUAGCAUGGCUUCUGCACAAGGAUAACACACAAAUUCGUGAAGCAUUCCAUAUAAAA